rnacentral:rRNA from 1 species
CCUACGGGUGGCAGCAGUGGGGAAUAUUGCACAAUGGGGGAAACCCUGAUGCAGCAACGCCGCGUGAGGGAAGAAGGUUUUAGGAUUGUAAAGUCCUAUUAGUAGGGAAGAUUAUGACGGUAUCUAACGAAUAAGCACCGGCUAACUACGUGCCAGCAGCCGCGGUAAUACGUAGGGGGCAAGCGUUACUCGGAAUCACUGGGGGGAAAGGGUGCGUAGACGGGGGAAUAAGUCAGAUGUGAAAUCCUGGAGCUUAACUACAGGACUGCAUUUGAAACUGUUCAGCUGGAGUGUGGGAGAGGUAAGUGGAAUUCUUGGUGUAGCGGUGAAAUGCGUAGAGAUUAAGAGGAAUACCAAUUGCGAAGGCGACUUGCUGGACUAUAACUGACGCUGAGGCACGAAAGCGUGGGGAGCAAACAGGAUUAGAUACCCUAGUAGUC